GUGGAUUAGAUACCCUGGUAGUCCACGCCGUAAACGGUGGGCGCUAGGUGUGGGGGACUUCCACGUUCUCUGUGCCGCAGCUAACGCAUUAAGCGCCCCGCCUGGGGAGUACGGCCGCAAGGCUAAAACUCAAAGGAAUUGACGGGGGCCCGCACAAGCGGCGGAGCAUGCUGAUUAAUUCGAUGCAACGCGAAGAACCUUACCAAGGCUUGACAUACACCGGAAACUUCCAGAAAUGGUUGCCCCGCAAGGUCGGUGUACAGGUGGUGCACGGUCGUCGACAGCU
rnacentral:rRNA from 1 species